rnacentral:rRNA from 1 species
UACGAAGGGGGCUAGCGUUGCUCGGAAUUACUGGGCGUAAAGGGCGCGUAGGCGGAUACUUAAGUUGGAUGUGAAAUCCCUAGGCUCAACCUAGGAAUUGCAUUCAAGACUGCUGAGCUAGAUGCCUGGAGAGGUGAGUGGAAUUCCCAGUGUAGAGGUGAAAUUCGUAGAUAUUGGGAAGAACACCAGUGGCGAAGGCGGCUCACUGGCCAGGUUAUGACGCUGAGGCGCGAAAGUGUGGGGAGCAAACAGG